rnacentral:rRNA from 1 species
CCUACGGGUGGCAGCAGUGAGGAAUAUUGGUCAAUGGGCGCUAGCCUGAACCAGCCAAGUCGCGUGAAGGAUGACUGCCCUAUGGGUUGUAAACUUCUUUUGUCUGGGAAUAAAGUGCAGUAUGUGUACUGCUUUGCAUGUACCUGAUGAAAAAGCAUCGGCUAACUCCGUGCCAGCAGCCGCGGUAAUACGGAGGAUCCGAGCGUUAUCCGGAUUUAUUGGGUUUAAAGGGUGCGCAGGCGGGUUGGUAAGUCAGUUGUGAAAGUUUGGGGCUCAACCGUAGAAGUGCGGUUGAUACUGGCAUCCUUGAGUGCAGGAGAGGUAGGCGGAAUGCGUGGUGUAGCGGUGAAAUGCUUAGAUAUCACGCAGAACUCCGAUUGCGAAGGCAGCCUGCUGGACUGUAACUGACGCUGAUGCUCGAAAGUGUGGGUAUCAAACAGGAUUAGAUACCCGAGUAGUC